rnacentral:rRNA from 1 species
UGGUUAAGUGAAUAAGGGCGUACGGUGAAUGCCUUGGCACUAGGAGCCGAUGAAGGACGGGACGAACACCGAUAUGCUUCGGGGAGCUGUAAGUAAGCUUUGAUCCGGAGAUUUCCGAAUGGGGGAACCUCAUUGUUUUUAUCGACAAUGGUCCACUCAGUGAACACAUAGCUGAGGGGAAGGUAGACGUGGUGAACUGAAACAUCUCAGUAGCCACAGGAAGAGAAAGAAAAAUCGAUUUCCCGAGUAGCGGCGAGCGAAACGGAAAGAGGCCAAACCAGCGUGCUUGCAUGCUGGGGUUGUAGGACUGAUUGACGGGAGUGAAUGAGCUAGUCGAACGCCAUGGAAAGGGCGAUCAGAGAGGGUGACAAUCCCGUAGGCGAAAGCUCAGCCACCUCAUUCAGUAUCCUGAGUACGGCGGUACACGUGAAAUUCCGUCGGAAUCCGCCAGGACCAUCUGGCAAGCCUAAAUACUCCCUAGUGACCGAUAGUGAACCAGUACCGUGAGGGAAAGGUGAAAAGCACCCCGGAAGGGGAGUGAAAGAGUACCUGAAACCGUAUGCCUACAAGCAGUCAGAGCCCGUUAAGGGGUGAUGGCGUACUUUUUGUAGAACGGACCGGCGAGUGACGAUAGCAAGCAAGGUUAAGCUGAAGAAGCGGAGCCACAGCGAAAGCGAGUCUGAAGAGGGCGUUGAGUUUGUUGUCGUCGACCCGAAACCAAGUGAUCUACUCAUGUCCAGGCUGAAGGUGUGGUAAAACACACUGGAGGGCCGAACCCACGUCUGUUGAAAAAGGCGGGGAUGAGGUGUGGGUAGCGGUGAAAUUCCAAUCGAACUUGGAGAUAGCUGGUUCUCUCCGAAAUAGCUUUAGGGCUAGCCUCGGAUGAUGACUAUUGGAGGUAGAGCACUGUUUGAUCGAGGGGUCCAUCCUGGAUUACCGACAUCUGAUAAACUCCGAAUGCCAAAUAGUUUAGUCCGGGAGUCAGACUGCGAGUGAUAAGAUCCGUAGUCGAAAGGGAAAGAGCCCAGACCACCAGCUAAGGUCCCAANGGAAGGUAGACGUGGUGAACUGAAACAUCUCAGUAGCCACAGGAAGAGAAAGAAAAAUCGAUUUCCCGAGUAGCGGCGAGCGAAACGGAAAGAGGCCAAACCAGCGUGCUUGCAUGCUGGGGUUGUAGGACUGAUGGUCGGGAGUGAAUGAGCUAGUCGAACGCCUGGAAAGGGCGAUCAGAGAGGGUGACAAUCCCGUAGGCGAAAGCUCAGCCACCUCAUUCAGUAUCCUGAGUACGGCGGUACACGUGAAAUUCCGUCGGAAUCCGCCAGGACCAUCUGGCAAGCCUAAAUACUCCCUAGUGACCGAUAGUGAACCAGUACCGUGAGGGAAAGGUGAAAAGCACCCCGGAAGGGGAGUGAAAGAGUACCUGAAACCGUAUGCCUACAAGCAGUCAGAGCCCGUUAAGGGGUGAUGGCGUACUUUUUGUAGAACGGACCGGCGAGUGACGAUAGCAAGCAAGGUUAAGCUGAAGAAGCGGAGCCACAGCGAAAGCGAGUCUGAAGAGGGCGUUGAGUUUGUUGUCGUCGACCCGAAACCAAGUGAUCUACUCAUGUCCAGGCUGAAGGUGUGGUAAAACACACUGGAGGGCCGAACCCACGUCUGUUGAAAAAGGCGGGGAUGAGGUGUGGGUAGCGGUGAAAUUCCAAUCGAACUUGGAGAUAGCUGGUUCUCUCCGAAAUAGCUUUAGGGCUAGCCUCGGAUGAUGACUAUUGGAGGUAGAGCACUGUUUGAUCGAGGGGUCCAUCCUGGAUUACCGACAUCUGAUAAACUCCGAAUGCCAAAUAGUUUAGUCCGGGAGUCAGACUGCGAGUGAUAAGAUCCGUAGUCGAAAGGGAAAGAGCCCAGACCACCAGCUAAGGUCCCAAAGUUUCAGUUAAGUGGAAAAGGAUGUGGGGUUGCUUAGACAACUAGGAUGUUGGCUUAGAAGCAGCCAUCAUUGAAAGAGUGCGUAAUAGCUCACUAGUCGAGUGACCCUGCGCCGAAAAUGUACCGGGGCUAAACUGAACACCGAAGCUGUGGAUCCGUAGGAUGGUAGGAGAGCGUUCUAUAGGCAGAGAAGCAUGAUCGUGAGGACAUGUGGAGCGUAUAGAAGUGAGAAUGCCGGUAUGAGUAGCGAAAGACGGGUGAGAAUCCCGUCCACCGAAUGACUAAGGUUUCCUGGGGAAGGCUCGUCCUCCCAGGGUUAGUCGGGACCUAAGCCGAGACCGAAAGGGAUAGGCGAUGGACAACAGGUUGAGAUUCCUGUACUUGUUUGAUUUGUUUGAGCGAUGGAAGGACACAGAAGGCUAAGCGGAGCGCGGAGAUGGAAAAACGCGUCCAAGCAAUGAGUGAGAAGGUGAGUGAAAGGCUUGCCUCAGGCUUCAUGAGUUGUGACGGGGAGGGAAGUUUAGUACCGAAGCCGCCGACGUCACGCUGUCAAGAAAAGUUUCUAGUGAGAAUCAAACAA